rnacentral:tRNA from 1 species
GCGCUCGUGCUGAAAUUGGUAAACAGACUGGACUUAAAAUCCAGCGGGAUUCGUCCCUUGUCGGUUCAAGUCCGACCGAGCGCACCA